CUUUUUCUUCCCCAACUACUUUGUUUUCCUAGAAUUUGAGCGCAAGCUCUCCAGCUUGAAAUCCCAUGCCGCCCAUCACUUUCAACGGACAAAUUUCCACCUUCAUUGCCGUACUGUUGUAGUGACUUUUUCUCAGAAGCCAGUGCCUUCUCGUCCUCAUCCCAUUCACUUCCUCAAGAGCCCCAUGCCUUCAUCUUCCUCCUCUUGUUCCAAGCGAUCGAUUAAGUAUAUGCAGAUGGGAUAAAAUGCUUAUUGGACCUGACAAUUUAUGAGCAGCCCUGCCCUCGAAGACAAGGUGAGGAUGCUGAGUGGUUACUAUUUCGUAACAUCCAUUUGACACGUCUUGAUUCCAAUUGUCAAUAAAAGAUUGCUUAAGCUCGUGAGAUUAUGAGAAUGAGUUAGUGGUACUAGGAAACAGAAUGUUGCCAAUGACUACACCACGUGACACUCUACAGGCUACGCCAACCACCAAGUUGAUCAGCAGAAGACCUUGUUCAUCUCUCUGCUACCAUUGAGCUCUCGCUGAGUCAUCUCUAGUUUAUUGGAAGAACAAGACUGAUUAAAGCUAACCUUUCACUAAGCAAAAAGAGAGAGAGCUAUUGGGUGUUUUGAUAAUUUCAUGGUGGAUAUGUACUACCUUUUGGGAUGUGGAAAGGCUGUGAUUGGUUGUUGUAGGCUGUCUUUUGAGCUUUGUAUUUGCAUGAGUAGGAUGGGUUGUGAUAAGUAGAUGUGGUCGUCGGAGGUUUAUUUGUUUUUUAAAUUCAUUUGGUGUCUUCUCUUUCUUGUAGUGUUGUGCCGUGUGCACAUAGCAAAAUCGUGAACUCCUCUAUUGUCUUUGAUUGUAAUGCAAGUAUAGUUCAAUGAA